GCCAAAGGGGAGCUCGGGGCCUUCGUUGAACAUUUGCAGCUUCUGCAGUUUCAGCCUCCGGACGGCAGGGGUCGCCCCGCAGCCUCCCGCGGAAACCACCUGGGCCUCCAGCAGCACGAAGACCUGCACGCCAGCUCCCAGGCGCCUCUCGUCGUACUGCACGCCGAGGCGGACCUCGCUCAACUCGCAGCCGCUGCUCAGCAGGUUGCAGCGGACCAUCCAGUUGAGGGACGGCUGCAGCACGGCCCGGAGGCGGCAGUGGCCCUCCGACAGGCUCAGGUCGUAGAGGUCGCCUCCACCUGGCGCCUCCCACAGGCCGCCCCCGCUUCCCGGAUCCCGCGGGUACCUUUCCACCGACAGCACGACGACCGGCUCCUGGCACACCUGCGACGAGCGGAUAGGCCGAAAGUCGGCAAUAGCGGCCGGGAACAUCGCCUUAAAGGCGCACGUUUGACUCUCGUCCACCUCCAUUUUGGUGCAGGCUGUGGGGAACGGCCGGCGGGGCCGUGACGUCACUGCGUGGCCCUGGGGCACAAUGGGGCCUGCGUAAUGACAUCACGGGGCGGGGAGGACAGGCGCUUCCAAAAGGAGGCAGACAGGAUGAGGGCAUCGUUGUUUCAGCAGCAUUUAAGACGGCAAUUAAGAGUCAACCAUAAUCGGCUGUGGGUCUGGAGUCACAUGUAGGCCAGACCAGAGAUCAACCAGACCCUGACAGACCUGCCUGUCUUUUGGAAUUGGCUCUAUGAGGUUAAACUUCCAAAAUUGACCCAAGAAGCCAUGUGCGCCCCCAAAUGCAGGGACUCGACGACCGUUAUAAACUGCACCACAUGUCUGGAGGUGGAGGUCAACUGCUGGAGCCUGAAGACCUGCUGGCCGAGUGAGUAAAGCCCAUCACCGCUGCGCCACUCUCAUUGUUGAACGAAAUGCGGAGUCACUACACCAAGGAGGACACAAGACAGGCUAGAUCUGAAUGAAUCCAUUUAUCUGAUUGUGGGUCUAUCAGCCGGCUCAAUUUUGAUUGGUUGCAUAACGCUCAUUUUCGAAUCAAGGAAAUUCCGAGCCGAGGUGAACCAACAGUUUGAAUAGAGGAGAGAGUUUUACUCUUAGCGACUGCUCACUUCAGAAUCAAGAGGCGAUCCGAAUAUGAAACUUACAGACAGGUUUCGAAGUUGCAUUAUUGUAUAAAUCCAGAUGAACCUUUGUUAAACCAAGUUGCGUAAUCAGAAAAGUUAAGCCUGUUUGAAAGCAGAAUCAAUUCACAAUCGUAGAUGCUUGUAAUUUAUUCAGAUUACUAUAAAAGGAACAUGUGUCCAAGAACUGCUGUUGCAUUCUGCUGACAGUUACCAACUAUGACCCUAAAUGUCCACAAUAAAAGAAA